CAUGCAUCGGUGGGGUCCCUCAGCCUGGCCUGCACCCUCUCGCAAUCUGCAAUCUGGGACCCCUUGGGAAAUGUCAGAGAGCAGGUUUCGGCCCGAUCCUGCAGGCCAGGCUGAGGGACCCCACUGGUACACA
rfam:Myotis davidii contig96088, whole genome shotgun sequence.